CAUGGAUCAAACCCACUUCUCUUAAGUCUCCUGUAUUGGCAGGUCUCUACCAUCACUCUCUCUACCAGGACGGACCUCCUCCCCAUCUGCCUCUCAGGAUGUCGCUGUGCCCUCUGUGGCUCUUUCUGAUCACUUCUCUUUCACUUCUGGGGACCCCAAGAGUCCUAAGGGCAUCUUCUGCAGCAAGUAUGCUUCUCCCUGUUGUCCAGCAGAGGAAACUGACUCGGAGGGGUUACAAACAAACCUGCACCCAGAAUGCACACUAGGGAAUGGUGAGUUUGGGAUUCAAAUCCAAGUUCAAACAACCCUGAAGCUUGUGUUUCUUCACACUACCCUGAGCCACCCAGGUGAAGUAGAUGAACUAAACCUACCACCACAGGGUGCUGUGCAAAACGGGAUGCCCUGAAGGCAGCAAUAUAGGAGGAGUUAUGGAAAGUCACCUGUGAUGUAGCAAAAGUGAUGGAAAACUUAGGACUUUUUCAUUGUUUGAAGACACUGUACCUUAUCCUCUGAAAUCAAAGAAAAAAUUUUCCCCAAAGCUCAUCAAAUCCUACUCUACCAUUUCAUGUCAAUUCACACACACCCUUCCUCACUCAAUGCUAUUCCUCUUAAAUAUACCAUUGGCACUUUCUUAAUAACUGAGGUCUCCUGGGGGAAAUCACAUGAAGUGCAUCCGUUUCUAUUUAAGACUGACAAAGGCAGGAGGAGAAAGGGGACCCUGACAUUCCAGUAGCCUGCUGGCUGCCUUUUCCGGGCCAGCAUGGCUGGACACAAUGGUUCAGGUUCGAGAAAUGGUAUUCAUUAUGUUCCUCUUGGCUCUCUCGGCCUGAUGCUUGAGGCCUCGCAGUCUGGAGGAAGAAGGAAGCGGGGAGAGGGAGGGAUGGGAGACAGGAGGACAUCACUGAUAAGAACAAAGGCCCAGCAGACUCCGGAAGCCCAUGCACUGAGCAGCCAAGAGGAGCUGACUUCCAGCAACAUGAAAAGACAAGUGAGAAGAGGAUUACGGGAACUUCCUUUUCUUGCAGUGU